CAUUCUCUUCCGGUCUGUCUGCCGCCAGGGUAUGGAGUGUGGAGUGGUGGCUGGGAGCGUUUUCUCGGCUCGUCUGCAGCUGCGGUGUGCGGCAGCCUCUUCGGGGGACGUGCAGUCCCAGCUGGCCGCGCCUGGAAGCCCUCUGGGCUCAGUGGGCACGGCCCCACACGGGCGGUCGUUUUAAGGCGAGGAGAACGCUUCUGUGACUACCCUGUGCGGGUUAAUUUUGGAAGUGAUGGUUAAGGGUCCUGGACAAUGAGUGCUCAGUCUGAGAGUUAAAGGCACUCGAAUUGUAGGAACACAGAUGAAGGUGAAACUGAAGAAAAUGAGUCUUUCCCCAAAGGAGAAAGAAGAUGGGGAGGAUGAGAUGUCAGAAGAUAAGGAGAGUGGCAGUAGAGAUGAGUUCAGGAGGCCAGACAGCAAAGAUCAAGUUGCUGGCAGUUUGGUUGCUUCUGCCGCACCUCUCCUUGGCAUGCAGAUAUCUGACCUAUGGCUGUGUUUUCACAAGGUCAUCUACUGCCCAUAGUUCUUCAUUUUUGUAUAUGGUUGUUGUCCUUCAGAAGAAUAGUAGGAAGAUCACUACUGCUCCAGGAAAUAAAAUAAGAAAAAAAAAAGUUUCUCGGAGCCAUUUGCUGAGAAGUUAAUAUCACCACGCAGGAAGGGGCCAAGUUUCCAAAAGACAGGGGGAUUGUCAAGCUCGAGGACCGUGAGAAGAGGGCUGAGAACUCUGGGGAGGAUGAAGUCUUUCCCAGCAUUAUACCACAGCCUGGUCCCGCUCCCAUGGCUCGGACCACAGAGAGUUCCGUGCUUUAUUCGAUGAGUUGGAUGCCCAACAUGGAAGCAUGUUCUGCUCCACGGGACUGAAGUGGCUGAGUCGUGAUGUAGUCCUAAGGCAGUUUUUGGAACUGGUGGAAGACAUUGAGUUUUUCAUGUCCUCUGGAGGAGAAUCUGUGCCUCAGCUCACGAGCAGAGAUUGGGUCCGAGACUUCGCCUUUUUGGUUGUCGUUGUGACACACCUAACCAUGCUGGCUAUUUCUCUAGAAAGGCAUGCACAGGUGCUGGCACAGCUGUAUAAUUCAGCUGACUCAUUCCUGGUGAAAUUGGGUCUUUGGGAGACUCAUUUGGCACAGAACAGCCUGGCCCACUUUCCUGUGCUGGAGUUAGUUUCCGAAAAUGAAAAUGAUGGCCUGCACUACAUCCCUCAAAUUAAAGAGUUGAAGACUAAAUUCCAAAAAAGGUUCUCCGAUUUCACACUUUAUGAGAAUGAACUAAUACUGUUCCGUUCCCCUUUCUCAAUUAGGACUCAUAAUGUGAAUGAAGAGCUACAAAUGGAAGUUAGUGAACUGCAGUGCAAUACUACACUGAAAGCCAAAUACCACGAUGUUGAGAUUCCUGAAUUCUACAGACAUCUUGGGAAUGGUUACCCUAAAUAUAAACACCAUUGUGCAGAGAUUCUGUCCAUGUUUGGAAGUACUUAUGUUUGUAAGCAGCUAUUCUCUGCUGUGAAACUAAAGAAAACCUAAAUGUGGCUCCCAGUUAAAAGAUUCAAGGAUGAAUUCUCUGCUGUGUGUUGCAAUGCAAGGUCCACAGCCUGAUGUUGACUGACAUCUUGUGGAGUAAGAAAGGAAUGUCAGAUUUUGAAUUUCAAAGCUGAAGAGUAAUAAAUUAUGGAACUUUGAACAGUUAUUUCUGUUUCCAAAUUACAUUUUUUUUCAAUGUCAAAUUUAAAGUGCAAUCUCUGGCAUUGUAUUUGUACCUUAUAAGAUAUAAAAAUAACAUUUGAUUAUA